UGGGGAAUUUUGCACAAUGGGGGAAACCCUGAUGCAGCGACGCCGCGUGAUUUAGAAGGCCUUCGGGUUGUAAAAAUCUUUUCUAUGGGAAGAAAAUGACAGUACCAUAGGAAUAAGGACCGGCUAAUUACGUGCCAGCAGCCGCGGUAAUACGUAAGGUCCGAGCGUUGUCCGGAAUCAUUGGGCGUAAAGGGUACGUAGGCGGGUAAGCAAGUUAGAAGUGAAAUCCUAUAGCUCAACUAUAGUAAGCUUUUAAAACUGCUCAUCUUGAGGUAUGGAAGGGAAAGUGGAAUUCCUAGUGUAGCGGUGAAAUGCGCAGAUAUUAGGAGGAAUACCGGUGGCGAUGGGGACUUUCUGGCCAUAACCUGACGCUGAGGUACGAAAGCGUGGGUAGCAAACAGG
rnacentral:rRNA from 1 species